rnacentral:misc_RNA from 1 species
CCUACGGGAGGCUGCAGUCGAGAAUCUUCCGCAAUGGACGAAAGUCUGACGGAGCGACGCCGCGUGAUUGAUGAAGCUUUUCGGAGUGUAAAGAUCUUUUAUGAGGGAAGAAGUUUAUUGACGGUACCUCAUGAAUAAGGGGCUCCUAAUCUCGUGCCAGCAGGAGCGGUAAUACGAGAGCCCCGAGCGUUAUCCGGAAUUAUUGGGCGUAAAGGGUGCGUAGGUGGCACUGUUAGUCGUUUGUCAAAUCUCCGGGCUUAACCCGGAAUCCGCGAACGAAACGGCAGAGCUAGAGAGUGUGAGGGGUAUAGGGAACUCAUGGUGUAGGGGUGAAAUCCGUUGAUAUCAUGGGGAACACCAAAAGCGAAGGCACUAUACUGGCACAUGUCUGACACUCAAGCACGAAAGCGUGGGUAGCGAAUGGGAUUAGAUACCCCAGUAGUC